GGAAGAGCGUACUCCGCAACCAAACCUUUCAACAUGAAUGUCAAAGUGCACGUAGAAUACUGUGGGGGAUGAGGGUUUGCUUCGCGCUACCGGGACUUGGCUUUCGAGGUAAAGAGAGCCGUACCCGGGGUGAAGGUGACGGGCCACGUCGGGCGCAGGAGCAGUUUUGAGGUCACCAUAAAUGGCAAACUUGUUUUUUCGAAGUUGGAGAUGAAUGCGUUCCCCGAUACCCGGGAGAUUGUGGAGAUGGUGAAACAGGUGAGUCACGGUGGUGAGGCUGGGAAGGUGACGAAGAAGGAGAAGGACUGUGUUCUCCAGUAGAGCAGGAUCCUGAACAAGGAAGCAUUCGGGAAUGUGUGUGUGGAAUGAGUUCUGUUAAUGACUGUGCACUCUGAAACACAGGGAGUGCACAUGAUGUUCAGUCAGAAUUAUUUCCAUGGACAGAUUUAUGAAAUGCUCCUGCCAACUCUUCACUACUACAUCUCU